rnacentral:rRNA from 1 species
CCCUUAGAUGUUCUGGGCCGCACGCGCGCUACACUGAUACAUGCAACGAGUUUAUAACCUUGAUCUGACGGUCUGGGUAAUCUUCAAACUGUAUCGUGUUAGGGAUCGAUUCUUGCAAUUUUUAAUCGUAAACGAGGAAUUCCUAGUAAACGCAAGUCAUCAGCUUGCAUUGAUUACGUCCCUGCCCUUUGUACACACCGCCCGUCGGCUCUACCGAUUGAAUGGUUCGGUGAAAACUUUGGACUGUGGCAUUGUCCUUCAUUGGACUUCGCCGUAGGAAAUUGUUUAAACCUCAUCAUUUAGAGGAAGAAUAAGUCGUAACA